rnacentral:sRNA from 1 species
AGCAGCCGCGGUAAUUCCAGCUCCAAUAGCGUAUAUUAAAGUUGUUGCAGUUAAAAAGCUCGUAGUUGAAUUUCGGGAUCAAUUGAUUGGUCAUGCCUUGGUAUGAACUGGUCAUAUUGGUUCUCACCUUCUAAUGAACCAUAAUGUCAUUCACUUGAUGUUAUGGGGAAUUAGGACUGUUACCUUGAAAAAAUUAGAGUGUUUAAAGCAGGCUUACGCUUGAAUACAUUAGCAUGGAAUAAUGAAAUAGGACAUCGCAUUCUAUUUUGUUGGUUUCUAGGAUCGAUGUAAUGAUUAAUAGGGAUAGUUGGGGGCAUUAGUAUUCAAUUGUCAGAGGUGAAAUUCUUGGAUUUAUUGAAGACUAACUACUGCGAAAGCAUUUGCCAAGGAUGUUUUCAUUAAUCAAGAACGAAAGUUAGGGGAUCGAAGACGAUCAGAUACCGUCGUAGUCUUAACCAUAAACUAUGCCGACUAGGGAUCGGAUGAUGUUAAUUUUAAAUGG